rnacentral:rRNA from 1 species
AGAGAAUAGAUACCCGGGUAGUCCAUGCUGUAAACGAUGAGAACUAGAUGUUAGGGGGCAUGACCUCUUAGUAUCGAAAGCUAACGCGAUAAGUUCUCCGCCUGGGGAGUACGGCCGCAAGGUUAAAACUCAAAGAAAUUGACGGGGGCCCGCACAAGCGGUGGAGCAUGUGGUUUAAUUCGAUGCAACGCGAAGAACCUUACCUACCUUUGAAUCCACGGAACCUAGCAGAGAUGUUGGGGUGCCUUCGGGAACCGUGAGACAGGUGCUGCAUGGCUGUCGUCAGCUCGUGUCGUGAGAUGUUGGGUUAAGUCCCGUAACGAGCGCAACCCUUGUCCUUAGUUGCCAUCAGGUUAUGCUGGGCACUUUAAGGGGACUGCCGGUGAUAAACCGGAGGAAGGUGGGGAUGACGUCAAGUCCUCAUGGCCCUUACAGGUAGGGCUACACACGUGCUACAAUGGGCAGUACAGAGGGUAAGCCAACCCGCGAGGGGGUAGCGAAUCUCAUAAAGCUGUUCGUAGUCCGGAUUGGAGUCUGCAACUCGACUCC